UGGAGAGGUGGCAGAGUGGUCGAUUGCGUCCGACUUGAAAUCGGAUGAACCGAAAGGUUCCGGGAGUUCGAAUCUCCCCUUCUCCGU
rnacentral:tRNA from 1 species